rnacentral:rRNA from 1 species
UACGAAGGGGGCUAGCGUUGCUCGGAAUUACUAGGCGUAAAGCGCACGUAGGCGGUCUUUUAAGUCGGGGGUGAAAUCCUGGAGCUCAACUCCAGAACUGCCUUCGAUACUGGAAGACUUGAGUCCGGGAGAGGUGAGUGGAACUGCGAGUGUAGAGGUGAAAUUCGUAGAUAUUCGCAAGAACACCAGUGGCGAAGGCGGCUCACUGGCCCGGUACUGACGCUGAGGAGCGAAAGCGUGGGGAGCGAACAGG